GUGGGGAAUCUUGGACAAUGGGCGAAAGCCUGAUCCAGCGACGCCGCGUGAGUGAUGAAGGCCUUCGGGUUGUAAAGCUCUGUCGGGGGGAACGAAACAGGGUGACCUAACACGUCAUCCGAUGACGGUACUCCCAAAGGAAGCACCGGCUAACUCUGUGCCAGCAGCCGCGGUAAGACAGAGGGUGCAAGCGUUGUUCGGAAUCACUGGGCGUAAAGGGCGUGUAGGCGGCGGAGUAUGUCCGAUGUGAAAUACCUCGGCUCAACUGGGGAAGGGCAUCGGAAACUACUUCGCUAGAGUGCGAGAGAGGGUGGCGGAAUUCCCGGUGUAGAGGUGAAAUUCGUAGAUAUCGGGAGGAACACCAGAGGCGAAGGCGGCCACCUGGUUCGUAACUGACGCUGAGACGCGAAAGCGUGGGGAGCAAACAGGAUUAGAAACCCCUGUAGUCC
rnacentral:rRNA from 1 species